ensembl:snRNA U2 U2 spliceosomal RNA
AUCACUCCUUAUCCUUUGGGCUAAUAUCAAGUGUUGUGUCUGUUCUUAUCAGUUUAAUAUCUGAUAUGUCCACUAUCCAAAGAUAAUAUAUUAAAUGGCUUUUGGGGAAGUAAGAGAUGGAAUUAGAGCUUGCUUCAACCACUUCACACAUAGACCUGAUAUUGUAGUACCUCCAGGAACAGUGCACCCCAC